GACUACUGGCAGGAUCAACCAGGUAGCAUUCCUCGCGGACAUCGGCCCGAAAGGCGAGGGAUCGCCUCCCGGCCACGAAGUCAUUCGAACGUAAGCUUCUAGCGGACGAAAAGGAGUCGGAGACCCCAUGCCCACAGCGUAUUCCGCAUCCCGGAGCCCGAACGAGAAUUUCAGAAGCCACGACCGCAACGCACCCGACGAGCGAGGGAGCGGCGUGGUUAAAAAAUCCCGCUUCGAGUUUCACCCUCGGCCGCGCCGUAAGAACGGGCAGCCCUAGGCGAACGAGAGAGGAUCGCCAUCCGAAUUCCGUCAACGUAGGUACGCAACACAGGAAAACCGUAGUCUCUGGGCGCAAAAGCAUUGUGCCCGACAAUGAAGAGGAAGGCACGGUCGGACGUCGCCGCACGAAGCAGGGAUCCAACC
rnacentral:misc_RNA from 1 species